GAUGAAGAACGUAGCGAAAUGCGAUAAGUAAUGUGAAUUGCAGAAUUCAGUAAAUCAUCGAAUCUUUGAACGCACAUUGCGCCCGGUAGUAUUCUGCCGGGCAUGCCUGUUCGAGCGUCAUUUCAACCAUCAAGCCCCAGCGCUUGUGUUGGGGGCCUGCGGCUGCCGCAGCCCCCUAAAAGCAGUGGCGGGCUCGCUAUCACACCGAGUGCAGUAGUUCAUCUUCUCUCCGGUCUUGUGAGGCGGGUUCCGGCCGUGAAACACCCCACUACAUUCAAGGUUGACCUCGGAUCAGGUAGGAAUACCCGCUGAACUUAAGCAUAUCAAUAAGCGGAGGA
rnacentral:misc_RNA from 1 species